rnacentral:misc_RNA from 1 species
AAAGUCGUAACAAGGUUUCCGUAGGUGAACCUGCGGAAGGAUCAUUAUCAUAACAUCCACGUUAAACCAUUGUGAAUCGUACCCGCUUUUCGGGCCUCGAGGAGAAUCAAAUGUGCUGUCAGAUUGCGCAUCUGCUGUCUUUUGUAACUUCUCGGCCUGUUACAGCAUGUUAUCAUACACACUUGAACCCAUCAUUAUACCUUUGUACUAACCAUUGCAUACUCUUGGCUAAUAACCUGGAGAUGUGAUAAAUACGAAACAUAAGAACAACUCUUAGCAACGGAUAUCUUGGCUCUC